AUUGAAAGCUGGCGGAAUGCUUUACACAUGCAAGUCGAACGGCAGCACGGACUUCGGUCUGGUGGCGAGUGGCGAACGGGUGAGUAAUGCAUCGGAACGUGCCCAAUCGUGGGGGAUAACGUAGCGAAAGUUACGCUAAUACCGCAUACGAUCUAAGGAUGAAAGCGGGGGAUCGCAAGACCUCGCGCGAAUGGAGCGGCCGAUGGUAGAUUAGGUAGUUGGUGGGGUAAAGGCUCACCAAGCCGACGAUCUAUAGCUGGUCUGAGAGGAUGAUCAGCCACACUGGGACUGGGACACGGCCCAGACUCCUACGGGAGGCAGCAGUGGGGAAUUUUGGACAAUGGGCGCAAGCCUGAUCCAGCCAUUCCGCGUGCAGGAUGAAGGCCCUCGGGUUGUAAACUGCUUUUGUACAGAACGAAAAGCUCUGGGUUAAUACCCUGGGGUCAUGGCGGUACUGUAAGAAUAAGCACCGGCUAACUACGUGCCAGCAGCCGCCGUAACAC
rnacentral:rRNA from 1 species